GGAGGAGGAGGAGGAGGAGGAGGAGGAGGAAGAGGAGGAGGAGGAGGAGAAAGAGGAAGAGAGGAGGGUGGGGGAAGGGAAAGUGCAUCGACUUUCCGACCGACCACACGCAAACUAUGUAAGCUUCACCGAUUAUAUUCGAGCGAUGUAGCGGUAUUUUUUAAUGUACUUAAUCGCGAUAAAGCGAAAAUCGAAGAGGAGUAGGAGUAGGAGUAGGAAGAGGAGGAGGAGAAAGGAAAAGGGAGAUGAAAAAUAAAAAAUAAGAAGAAGAAGAAGAAGAAGAUAAUUGUUUCUUAUUAUAGAAAGACGUGGAAAUGCGUCAAAAUGAGAGAGAGAGAGAGAGAGAGAGAGAGAGAGAGAGAGAGAGAGAGAGAGAGAGAGAGGACUAAGAAAAAGAUAGAAAUGAAAAGCGUUGAUGAUUGGUCUCUCUCUUUCUCUCGAUUGGGGGAUCGGGGACAUGUGAGGCAAUCGCAUUUUAAUUGUUGGAGAAUCCGAUGCGCAUAGAUUGGAAAUAUAAAAUGAGACUGCGUAUUUGACGAUUUUGACGAUUUGACGAAUUGCAUCGACCUAUCUUCCGUCGAUCAUUUGUCCAUGAAUAAUCUAUUGCAUACAAAUUGAUCUACGACGAAUGAUCGAGAGGAAGAAAGCGUAUAAUUUAUAAUAUAUUCGUGACUCGUCUAAGUAAGAAUAUUAAAGGAUCUACGCGUAUCUCUACGUCGAAAGAGAAUGAAAAAAAGAAAGAGAGAGAGAGAGAGAGAGGGAGGGAGGGAGGGAGGGGGAAAGAGAGAAAUUAAAAUAAAAAUAAAAAAUAAAAAAUAAAAAAAAACCUCACAGGACAAAUCUUAUAGAUGCUAGAAUAGCGAUAUAUAAUGUUUUGUACAGCUAGAUGACUAAGCCAGUAUUGGGUUAUGUGCAACAUUAUAUAGAUGAGAGAAGAGGACGACGAGAUGAUGAUGAUGAUGAUGAUAAUGAUGAUAUGAAUUUAUGAAAGAAGAAAAACACUAUUGUAAUUUAAAAUGCCACACUAAAUUAUUAUUAUUACGAUAGUAGGUAUGUAUUAUUGUAAAUACCUAUACCGGACGAGAUAAGAUCGAGAUAGAAAUAAAAACGAUGAUAGGGAAAAUUGUUUAUCCAUCUACGCGAGAAGAAUUCUCGAUCGCUAAAUACAUUCAGAAUGAACCGUUCGAAUUUGUGUAAUGUAAUUCGGAAAGAAAAAGAAAAGUAAGAGGAUGGACGCGAAGCGGGGAAUAAAGGGAAAAAACUAAAGAGAGGAAAGUUUAAUUGUUUUAAGAGAUCGACGCGCCGAUUUAUCUUUACCAACGCUUCUCGGUGUAUGAUUAUGUUCCUGCCGAUUGCCUCGGAUAUUAUUGUGUGUACGUUUGAAUGACGAUAAUCGUAUUAACGAUUAUAUUGAUAAAUAGAACGGAUGUAUUAGAGACAAAUAGAGGGAGGGGUGGGGGGGAGAGAGAGAGAGAGAGAGAGAAAAGGAGAAGCGAGAUAAGAGCGAACGAAAGAGAAUAAUAAACACGUAAAAAGAAAUUGAGAGAGAGAGAGAGAGAGAGGGAGAGAGAGAGAGAGGGAGAGAGAGAGAUGAAGCAGGAUAUAUUCGAUCGCGAACUGUACUUACGUCGCUAAAAAAAAUUCCGAUAUAAUAAAGAAAAUGGGUGAGGGUGUGUAGUAGAGCAUUAGGAAGAAUCGAAGGCAGCGGUGAUCGAGUCGUUAGACAAGCUAUUAAAAAAAAAAUAAAAUAAAAUAAAAAAAUAAAAAUAAAAAAGUAAUACAAAAUAAAAAAAAAAAAAAAUGCAAGGCGAAGUUCGUCGAUCUAAGUGUAAUAUAAACUAUUAAUCGUGUAACGUUAUAAUUUGUAUCGACUAUGCACGGAUGAUUACACGUCGGUCCUUUUCCAUUCGACCAUAUUAAAAAUCGUCGUGAAGCGGGAACGGUAGAACGCGCCGAUCGUUAGAGAGAAAACACAAUUAGCCUUUGUUAUCGCGUAGAGAUGAAAAGAAAAUGAUGAAAUAAAAUAAAAAUGAAAUAAAAUAAAAUAAUGUAAUAAGGGGCGACUGAUUUUCGUUCGCUUAUUCUUUUUUACACGCGCGAACGGGGAUUUGGUAUCGAGCUAUGUGCGUUUAUCGCGAGAGUAUUAUUAUUAAUUAUUAAUUAUUAUUAUUGUUAAGAAGAGUGUCGCGAAUAUGUUGAAACGGUGGGAGGGAAGAAGCUAGGAAGAGUAAAGUAAUAGAUAGAUAGAUAGAUAGAUAAAGAGAAAGAGAAAGAGAGAGAGGGAGAGAGAGUGAGAGAGAGAGAGACGAUGAAAGAAAGAGAGGAAAGUACUAGGUCGAGGAGAAAAGUAUCACUGUAUUCCGUGCUGGUUGUGUCCGAAGAUAUUGCAGAGCCAGGCUUCAAUCGAGUAAAGUUGUCUGCCUCCAUGUAAAGGAACGUAUUAAGAGAAUAAUCACUACCGACACUUAUUAUACACCUCUAUAGUCUAUUUAAUAAUAUUACUUAUUGAAUUGUCAAUCUCAUGUUCACCUUGUUUCAUCGUUUUUAAAUAGUUAAUAAACGUUUUACCAAUUUUAA